rnacentral:rRNA from 1 species
CGCUUUCACUCCUACGGGAGGCAGCAGUGGGGAAUAUUGCACAAUGGGGGAAACCCUGAUGCAGCCAUGCCGCGUGUGUGAAGAAGGCCUUCGGGUUGUAAAGCACUUUCAGUAGGGAGGAAGGUAGUGUAGUUAACACCUGCACUAUUUGACGUUUACCUACAGAAGAAGCACCGGCUAACUCCGUGCCAGCAGCCGCGGUAAUACGGAGGGUGCGAGCGUUAAUCGGAAUUACUGGGCGUAAAGCGCAUGCAGGCGGCCUGUUAAGUCAGAUGUGAAAGCCCGGGGCUUAACCUCGGAAUUGCAUUUGAAACUGGCAGGCUAGAGUCUUGUAGAGGGGGUAGAAUUUCAGGUGUAGCGGUGAAAUGCGUAGAGAUCUGAAGGAAUACCAGUGGCGAAGGCGGCCCCCUGGACAAAGACUGACGCUCAGAUGCGAAAGCGUGGGGAGCAAACAGGAUUAGAUACCCUGGUAG